UGGUCUGCGCCUCCGCCUUUUUUCCUCUUUCGAGUCCGCCCCUUUCGUCAUCCGACCCUUUUUUUUUCUUGCUUCUCCAAACGACGCCACCAACCGCCGCAAUAGAUCAAUAGAAAGAUAGGAAUAUCUUCCAUAUAUGAAUAGUUUUCCGGCAGCCGCCACCACCCAACCCCUCCUCGAAGACGACUUCUCCUUUUACAUCUCCUUUUUUCAGGACGACUCCGCCGCACCACCCGCUUCGCCUCCGACGUCGAUCUCCGACAUGCCCAAGGGUCGCCGUAGACGAGAAGCCGGCGCAUCCGCCUCCGGUGAUGAGAGGAGGAAGAAGCGGAAAUCGAUCGCCAAUCUGCUGACCUCCAUCGCGGCGAUCGACGCCCAGGAUGAGUCCGAGCGGCGCGAGUCCGACGAAGACUCUCGCCGCGAGCUCUCACUUCUCGAGGAGAACCACCACCGGAAGGCUGAGGUCAUGCUCGACUACUACUCCCGCCUCGAGGACAACUUCUCCGCCCUCGACGAUGACGCUGACACCCUCCGCUCCAAGCGCGUCCGAGUAGCCGCCUCUGCGGUCGCCGCUGCAGCGGCGGCGGCCUCCGCUUCCGUCGAGAACGACGCUGGCCCUGCCACUUCCGCCGCCGGAAGCGGCCACCAGCAGAGGCGGCUUUGGGUGAAGGACCGGUCGCGAGCGUGGUGGGACCAAUGCAACAGCCCGGAUUUCCCCGAGGCGGAGUUCCGACGAGCGUUUCGGAUGGGCCGCGCCACGUUCGAUUUGAUCUGCGAUGAACUUGGGUCGGCAGUAGCGAAGGAGGACACGAUGCUCCGUGCCG
rnacentral:lncRNA from 1 species